GCGCGUCUCUCCUGACCACACAGGCAAGUGUCCUCUCUGUGGCCGGAUCAGAGGUGUCAGCAAAUGAGGCCUGGAGCAGCUUCAGGAAGGAAGGAAAUCAGAGAAGCUGGGAAGGCAGCCUUUCCUCCACUGCUCCGGGUCACAGAGCUGACCCCGGAUAGGAAGGAGGUCAGCACUGGCGGCCAGGCGAUUCCUCAAGGAAAACCCCAAAGGAUGAGCAGGGAAGGAGGAAGGAAGCAUUCUCAGCCAAGGGGAUGGAGUAGGGCGCUGAGCUUCUGCCAACCAUGGAAAGGCCAGCCCUUUGGUUCUCACAUCUGAAGAAAACACCACGAAGGUCCCCUGAAAACUGUCCCAUCGGGCUUCCAUCUCACAUCCCGUGAGCUGACGUCUCCCUCUCUUCCUAGCUGUAAUCUCUUUUUAAAAAGAAAUUGCCCAGACCCCUUUGCAUCGAUAUUCUCUUUUGAACAAAACUGUGUAAAUGGAGGUCCCAUGAUUAAUGUUUUGAGACCUACAACAUUUUAAGACAUUUAUGGGGAAAAACUUCUUUCCAAAUGACUUAACGUAGGAGUCCCUUAAGUAUGCUCUUAGACUGACGUUUCUUAAAUCGUGUGUGAACCUCGUUUAUGAGUGGAAAUUUAAUAACCACUGACUCAUAGCUAGAUAAAAGGGACAUGUCUGAGCUGGGCAGCUUAAUGACACAUUCAAACCAGGGGUUCCACGACGGUGCAGAUGUCACACGCACAGAAUCUGUCCGAUAGCGGUUGCACAAGUCAAGAUUAAAGUGAAAGUCUGAACUGAAGCUUGAGGGUGUGGCUGCGGAUAGCAGCGAGGUGCACAAGUGAAAACAGGCAACCAGAGAGAUGUUUCAGGAGAGGCUCUGAGAACAUCUUCCCACAGCGCUCCAAGCAAGGAGGACACCUGUUACCGAGAUCUGGGACACAGGCAUCGAGUUUCUUUCUUUAUCUAUUGGUUCAAGAAACUAACGUCACCACACUGGACAGAAGCAUGGGAUCUCUGGUAGCUUCUUUUCAAGGUGAACAAGGAACUAUACCAAGGUGGAAUAUAGCCACUAAACAGCUUAGAUAGUUGAACAAGGACUUAAUGUCUCAACACAGGACGAACAGCCUUGUUUGUCCCAGAGACACGCCUUAUAAAGAAAGUAUUUAGGGAAGUGAAUAAAGCCAUGUUAUUCAAAGUUUUGAUACACGUUCGUUUAUUACAAUUUUAAGUUUUAGUUACUAGGAAUAACUGAAUAAAACAUACCAGGAGUUAGCAAUAUUCAAUGUGAUUUGCUAAGAGUAAGGAAGGAGAGAAGGCUGUGAUUAGGUUAAGCUAAAUUUUACUAAGAUAAGAAGUACUGUAGAGUCUCUGAUAAAGAACUGCAAGACAGCCCAUGCAGGGCCGCAUCUGAUGGAGAAGAAAAACAGUCACGUGGGGUCUGACACUCACAAGAACAAGGCUUAGAGGGCGGGCGGGCGAGUGAGCAGUGAAAACAGAAGGAUGGGCCAGGCAUGGUGGCAUGUGUCUUUCUUUAAUCUCAGCACUCAGGAGGCAGAGGCUGGGAGUUCAAAGCCAGCCUGCUCUACAUAGUGAGUCCCAGACCAACUAAGGCUACACAGUGAUAUCCUGUCUUAAGCCACACCCUUCUCCUUCCAAAAAAGGAAAGAAUUGAAAGGAGACAAAGUCUAGCCCUCCUGUGGGAUGAGGGGAAUCUACAGUGGGGGCAGGAUCAUCUCACACUUGGACGCUUUCAAGUGGGCAACAGCGUGCAAGAAACUGAUUAUCUGAGGCUAGCAUUUUUUUUUAAAUCUUUUUUUAAACCUUUGCUUUUAUUUCAUGUGUCCAGGUGUCUUGUCUGCCUGUAAGUCUGUGCAUCGCAUGCAUGCAGUGCCUGCAGAGACCAGAAGAGGGCGUACAUCCCUUGGGACUGGAAGUAGAAACUGUUGUGAGCGCUGGGAACCUAACCCAGAACGGCUGGAGGGGAAGGCCAGGGCAGGCAGUGUGCGCUUAACUGCUGGGCCAUCUUUCCAGAUGCCACAUUAUUUUAAUAGCAGUUGGGAUAAGAUCAAGGUAGAAAGAAACAGGAAAAGAUUUAUAUCACAGACUGCCGCAAUAGAGAACAAGAAAAAAAUGUGCUUUAAUUACGUUACCAAUACUGGCAGUUGACAUAAGCUGCAAAGCUAAUUGCCUUACAAAUGGCAAAUGCAGAUAACCACCACCAACUAAUGAACAAUGCCCUAGAGCAGCACUUCUCAACCUUCCUAAUGCCGCGACCCUUUGAUACAGUCCCUCAUGAUGCCUUGACUCCAACUAUAAAGUUGUUUUGUUCUUACUUCAUAACUGUAACUCUGCUACUGUUAUGAAUCAUCUCAGAAAAAUCUGUGUUUUCUGAUGGUCUUAGGUGACUCCUAUAAAAGGAUCGUUCGGCCCCCAGGCUGAGAACCACUGUCCUAAAGCUUCCAGCAUUCUGUUCUGGGGCCAGCUAGCAGCUGGUGCAGCGAUUCCUGCUCAGACAUGGAGGGUCAGAGUUCACUAUUUUGUUCUGUCUAGUUCUAUAUACCAUUUUGUUUUGCCUUUACAAAAACAAGUAAGGGGGUGGAGAGAAAGCUCAUAGAUUAAGCAGUUCCUGCAGAGGACCAGGGUUCAGUUUCCAGCGUCCGCAUGAUGGCUCACAACACUCCUUACCUUAGUUCUAGUGGAGCCAUAGCUCCCUCCUGACUUUCCCAGGUCACAGGCAUGUACGCAGGGCACGGACGUACAAGAAAGCAAAAACAUGCAUACAUUAAAUAAAAACAGUAAGUGAAUCUUUCAAGAAGCCUUUAAAAAAUAAAAAUGAAUAAGUGGUUGAUAUUUAGCAAACUUUUUUCCCCCCCUGUAUCCAUCCAGAUGAGAACUUGCCCUCCCUUAUUCUGGGAAUGCAGCAAUUACAUUUGCAAACAUUAAACAUUUUGAGUUCUGGAGUUGAUGCUAGCUAGCCCUUUUUAAACGGAAAGUUUUGAGUUGCAACUACUUAGAGAUUUUUAUAGUAUGCUCCCAAGGGAUAAUCUACAAUCCCAACUCUCCAUUGGAGGCCAACACGUCAGUGAGCUACCUCCCCAGCCUAUCUGCCUCUUUUCUUGUAGGAGACCUUGUCAGACUUAACAUAUAGGGGCCUCAUAAACUGAAUGGGAAAAGGCAUCUUCCUCCCCUGGUUCUCCUUUCCUCCCACACUGCAGGCCCCGCCCACAAUGCAGGCCCCUCCCACGCUGCAGCCCCGCCCACGCUGCAGACUCCACCCACACUGCAGGCCCCUCCCCGCCGGCCCCUGGCAGACACUGGUCUACUUUCUGUACAGCUUUGUCUAUUCUGCACAUUUCAAGUUCGGUUGACCCCCACACAAUGAGGUCACGAUGCCAUUCUCUAGCACAAUGUUUUCAAGGUCAUCAUGUAAUUUUAAAUAGAAACUGCCAGUUUAAGGUACAGAGAGCCAUGAUGCACAAAGCACAGAGCACAGAGCCUGGCCAGCUCCGUGUGCAUCUCAGAUCCAGCUCUCACUACAGUUCCAGGAUGAAAAACAAGCCAUUCACUUUCUGGCGUCUUACCUUCUUCAUAUGUGCAACGAGUUUACUAUAGUAAUUGUAGUGACAUUUAAAGGAAUUAAUGUAUUCGAAGCACUCAGACCAGCACCUCAUAUAGAUAUGAUCAUCUGCAAUGAGGAUAGUCAAUUGUGGGAUGAUAGUCUCACAAUCUUUCCUUUUUUUUUUUUUUUUUCCUUUUCUUUGGAAGCCCAGGGUCUUACCACGUGGCACCUGCUCUGCAGACCAGACAGGUCUCCGGCUCCUCCACCUGCUCUGCUUCCCUGGUCUGGGAUUAAAGGCA